rnacentral:rRNA from 1 species
GUGGGCCCUCGAAAUCUUGUGGCGAGAGGAUUCAGUCUUGGGCAGCUGACACCGGGGAGGAAAUCUCUGAGUAGGGCUCCCGCUCACGCGGGUCGUCCUCCAAGUUGACUUCAACUGCCUGAGACGCAUUUCGCUCUCGUCCUAAGGACGCUGCAACCGGGUUGGAAGUGCAAGCGUGACUGCCUGAAGGUCGGGAAACGGCAGGUGACCUGCGGAGCACCCCGUGUGCUCUGUCGGUUGUUAGCCAUCUCGUCAGUGGCCGGUCUCCAACCCGUGGUAUUGUGAGGCUCGUCUCCAACCUAGCGGGACAGGGCUUGGCCAGGAUACUCUCUUUCGACUGUCGCAGUUCUGCGAAUUGGGCUGUCGAGGGAGAGUUCUGCAUCGCCGAGACGGAUCCGCGGGACACUGGAGGUUGGCAGCGAGUAGGUCGGUCACCCACCCGACCCGUCUUGAAACACGGACCAAGGAGUCUAACAUGUGCGCGAGUCAAUGGGUCUUGACAAUGCCCAUGGGCGCAAUGAAAGUGAAGAACUGCCGAGCGUAGUUUAAGUGGGGAUCCCUUCUCUUAGAGGGAGGGGCGCACCCACGUCACGCCGUAUCCGACUCGUCGGUUCGGUGUAGUCUGAGCGUACACGUUGGCACCCGAAAGAUGGUGAACUAUGCCUGGACAGGAUGAAGCCAGAGGAAACUCUGGUGGAGGUCCACAUCGGUUCUGACGUGCAAAUCGAUCGUCAGAUCUGGGUAUAGG